rnacentral:rRNA from 1 species
AGCAGCCGCGGUAAUUCCAGCUCCAAUAGCGUAUAUUAAAGUUGUUGCAGUUAAAAAGCUCGUAGUUGAAUUUCGGGGUCAGUAGGUUGGUCGUGCCACUGGUAUGUACUGGCUUCACUGAUUCCUCCCUCUUGUAGAACCGUAAUGCCAUUAAUUUGGUGUUGCGGGGAAACAGGACUGUUACUUUGAAAAAAUUAGAGUGUUUAAAGCAGGCUAACGCUUGAAUACAUUAGCAUGGAAUAAUGAAAUAGGACGUUUGAUCCUAUUUUGUUGGUUUCUAGGAUUGACGUAAUGAUUAAUAGGGAUAGUUGGGGGCAUUAGUAUUCAAUUGUCAGAGGUGAAAUUCUUGGAUUUAUUGAAGACUAACUACUGCGAAAGCAUUUGCCAAGGAUGUUUUCAUUAAUCAAGAACGAAAGUUAAGGGGAUCGAAGACGAUCAGAUACCGUCGUAGUCUUAACCAUAAACUAUGCCGACUAGGGAUCGGAUGAUGUUAAUUUUUUUAAUGUACUCAUUCGGCGCC